ACUGGAGCAGGAAGUCGGCCUGUGGCCGGCCAUGUUCAUGAGGGCGCGUCCCUUGGCACCCCUGUAGCCGCUAUGUUUCCCACGCCCGUGGCAGGCCUGAGAGAUUAUGUUUGCGGGGGGUGCUUUUUUUGUAGCUUCUGUGUUCGCCAUAUUUGAAAGGGGCAGACGGCCAUGUUCGUGAACGGCGCUUCCCUUGGUGCACCUGUGGCCGCCAUGUUUGAGCGAGGACCCCGUGGCAGGCCAGGACCGUUUCUCCGGUGCUAUCCCAGAGCAUGGCGCAUCCACUCAUUCACUCAAGGUAUCAAGCUCCACUGUGUUCUGGGGACUGGGCCAGGCGCAAGCCCAGGCAUGGAAUCAUCACACAGAAUUGUACGUUUGCAGUGUGAUGGGAGCCACGGGGGAGAGGCCACAUGGGCAACAGCACAGAGCUGGGGGUGUCGGGUGAGGAUCCUGGGAGGAAGUGGCUGGGGCCCCCUCUCCCUCCCUCAUCCUGUAGGAUGCAGGCCCCUUUCAGGCCCACCCGGGGGAAACAGAGCCUCCUAGUCAAGGCUGGAUGUGCAGUGGAGCCCUGUCUGGACAGGCUACCCCUCCUGACGAGGUGGGAGGUGUUGGCGUGGGCAGAGGAGCCAAUCUUGAAUUCUCUCCCCCGCUCCACCUCAAGCUGCCAUGUGGAAUUGCAGGAGACCCUGGAGGGAGCAGAAAACCAGGCUCGGCCGAAGCCACCUCCACACCACGGUUUCCUGGGUUCCCCAAAACCAGGCUUGGCCGAAGCCACCUCCACACCACAGCUUCCCGGGUUCGCUGUGUCUGCUUCUGUUCUUAUUCCUGAUUAGCUGUGCCCCCACCCGGCCAGGUCAGGGCACAGUGAGACUCCCCAUGGUGGCAGGCGUGUGAAGUCUGUGCAGGCUUGUACGUGGCUGGCCCCCCACCUGAACUGUACGCCCCUGGAAGGCAGGGUCCGUGUUUUGUUCACGGAGGCUGGUGAUACCCAGAGGACAUUGGCUGGCUGGCUGGCUGGCCGGGGGCGAGACGCACACAGAGAACUUGAGGAUUGUGGAUUGGAGGAAACUUUGCAUUCUUGCCCAUACCACAAAUUUCUGACUUAAAACACUGCUGUGCCCCAGUUCAGUAUUUGCCUUUGACAAACACUGUAGGGCCAGUGAGAAAGUUGAAGAGAUUUUUCAACUGACUAGCAGUCGGUAGACCCGUUAACUGAGGCCACCCCGGCCAGAGCACAUUGCAUUCCUGCCAACAGAUGGUGGCCUGUAUGAUGACAGGGCCUCUCUUGCAUAUGGCCUUUUAUAAUUAAAAGAAAGAAGUAAUAGGUAGAAAGAGAGAGAGAGAGGGAGAAGGCAGGGGAAAAAAAGCUUGCAGCAUGCUUUUAAAAUGUCAUCGCACCACUGCACUCCAGCCUGGGUGACAGAGUGAAACUUUGUCAAAAAAAAAAAAAAAGUUCUCUUUGAAUUGACCUAAACUAAUGUUUUCUUAAUAGCCCACCCUCUCCUAUCCUCUCGGUCCACCCGACUUAGCUGGGCAAAAAUAACCCUGUGGUAGGACAGCCGUCUGCUGUUGGAAAGUAUCGCAGCUCCUCCCGUGUCUGCCCCGUGCACAUGUGCCAAGGUCCUGCCUUGAAUGAAGGACACAGCGGAGAAGGAUGUAGGCUCUGAGCCUGCUAGGGUGCCUGAGAGACUCACAGGACUACCCCUGGGGCAGUUGGAAGAUGCCCAGAAACUUCAGGGAGCCACCAGCAUGGGGCAGAGGGUCUCUUCUGGAGUUGGUGGCAUCAGAAUCAGGUGUAGAGUACAUAGGAACUGUUGGCGCCGUGCAGAGAUGGGGAAGGAGGUGCCGGUGGAAGGGCCCAAUGCCUGCGCCCCUGGGGCCCUCACUGGAGGCUGAGCAUCCACUGGACUCUUGUAGCCCGCUUUGUAGACUGAUCAGUAGUCUGUGACAUGACGAUGUUUGAGUAGAGUAGACCAUUUUCUGCUUCAUAUAUCCUACAACGUGCUGGGAUCAGGAGGCAGUGGUGGGUCCAUGGCAUCUGACCCAGCCCGACGCCCUUGUGGUCUCCAGGCGGUCAUGACCCAUGGCCUGACCCGGCUUGGUCAGCCCGGCCUGGCCGUGUCUUCCCAGGUUCACACCCAGCCCUGGCCCCUCUCUGCCCCCUUGCCAGGAAAUUUGAGUCCUCCUUAACGUUUCUCAAUAUUGUGGUUUUGUUUUGUUCUUUCUCAUUCAUUUGUCUUUUAAUUUUUGGCUUCCGUUUUUUAUGGGCACCUAAUUGUGUGUGUUCUAAAAAUUGAAUUGUGCUUCUGUUCUUAUUGAUGGCAGCUAACCAUCACUGUGUAAGUAGGCAGGAUGUGGAGGUCUACCUAGGAGAACUCGCUUGCCUCUGCUUUUCACCGACGCAGGCCCGGUGGAGAUGCUCCAGCGGAAGCCAGGACUUGUCUCCUGGUGGAGUCCACCGGUUUCAUUCAUCAAAAGUUUGUUGGGCUCUCUGCACACACGUUGUAAAGAGCACUGCAGGCAGUGCACAGGCAGGGCUGUGGGAGCUGUGGGCGUGGCUCCCGCCAGGGUGGAGCUGCACCCUCCAUGGGGAGUCAUGGUGCAUGUGCACAGCUGCAGAGAGAGGCUGCAGGGCAGGAGAACCUCGGGAACCCCGUAGUCUCCGCUUGCCCUGACUGUAUGAAGAACAUGCUCCAUUUGGGUAUCAGUGAAACUGCACACCAGGGGGGAACAUUCAAAUCGUGAACUCCAACAUCAUCCAGCAGAAAAGCUCCGAGCGAUGGGCCACUUUGUGCCUUGCUGCCAGCCCUCCGCUGGGAUCACGCUGCAGUGUCCUUUGAAGAAAAGGCCUGGGAUUUGCAGAGCCUGGAGAAGGCUAAAUUUCCAACUAGAUGAAAAAAAAAAUUGCCAUUUUAUGAGAACCUUUGGGCAGUCUGGAAGAAAAACACCAAGAUGAAAAGCCCUAUUUUGAGAGCUCCCUUGCCUUCAAGCAGGGGCCGCUGGCAGUGGAAACCGGCUGGGGAUCGGGCUGAUGGCAGAGUGAGGUUCAGGCUGGGAGCGGGCAUGUGGACAGGUCCCUCCCUGCAGAUCCACGUCUGCCUCCCACUCGCAGAUGCCCCUGUGCCCAGCGCACCGUAGGCUCACUUGGUCAAACAUCAGGGGCAUGGCAGGGCCAACAGAUAAAUGGAUUUUCCCGCAAACGUACUAGUCAUUGAUGGGCAGCUGUUUUUCCCUCUGUGGCCGUGUAGCCAUGCUCAGGCCAUGUGCAGGAUGAGGAAUUCCUGAAGAACUGUCUGCACCCAGGGCAGAGAUUACGGGGUUCUGAGGUUCCCCCGCCCCGCGGCCUCUCUUGGCGGCUGUGCGUGUUCAGUUGCCUUCAUUGAAACCCAAGCAUCCGUCCUCGGCUGCCACCGACACAGGUCAAGGCCACCCAGGAGGAGACACUGUGGGGCCCUGCCCAGUUCUCACGGGUAUCGCAUUUUGGCAGGACGUGGACCCAGGCAGGACUGGGAACGAUGACCCUCAAGUCCAGGUCGGUUCCCAUGUGUGGCCUUCAGGAACUAAAAUCAUCAGCUUUCAAAUCAAACAGGUUUCAUCUGAGCUACUGAGACGUCACGGGCUGUCAGUAAAGGCCAUGAGGGCCCCCUAGGGGCAGCAAAGGCCGUGGGAAGAUGCAGGAAAGAGUGAGUGGGAAGGCAGGGGUGUGGCGGGAAGGCAGGGGUGCGGCCGGAGGGCGGGGUGGGGCUUGCAGGCUCUCCCGCCUAGUGUCUCAGCCACUUGAAAGUGAGCUGUGAAUAGGCAUCACUCCACUUUUAGGGAUGCAGGACAGUAGAGACUGUGUGUUGGUGGCAUGUUUCAGAAAUGAGACUUCUCCACGUCGGUGGGGAGGGGUCUGCCCUGCUCAUGGGCCCUGGGAGCGGAAUGGCCGACGGCCGGUCUCUGCUCACCCAGGCUCGCUCCGCCCCACGGAGGAUUCCCCAGUUUCCUCGAAGGGCACUUGCCUACCGAGGUCCCUGCGGCUGUGACUUCCCUGUCAUGCUGCUUCCUAAGAAUCCAGAACAGAUUCAGGUCAGUGCGUUUCGAGGCAGCUAAGUACAACGGCAGCGUCUGUCCUUAAACUUGAGUGCAGAGCCAGGGUCACCGCCGCCCGCUCGCAGCAGCUGACUGGUGUGAACUGAUGGGGUGGACAUAACCUGGCUUCUCAGGUGGGGCUUUGCAGGGCUGGCUUGCUCCAGGCUCCCUCCAGGCCACCUUGUGCAAUGGUUUCACCUCGUCUUAUUCUAGUGCAGGUUCGCCCCCUGCCUGGCUCCAUCCUUCUUUUCAAAGUCUGGGCACAGAAUGGAGGCCAGCCCACGUGGUUAUCUGGUCUCCACACGUGUCUCUGGGUUUGUGGGGGUGUUGGCUUGCAGACCAGGAGCAGCUAACAAGGUCUGUACCUUGUUUCGAAUUUUGGACUGAACUGUCUGGAAUUCUUGGACGUUCUCAAGCUAACUCAGUUGCAUGAAUUUAGAGGCAAAAGGGUGGGGAUAAUUUUUCCCUUGGAUUUGUCAGUUCCAAGAUGUAUAACUUUAGUAUUCCAGAAAAUAGAUUUAUACCAGAUCGGGAAUUUCUCUAUUUCUCUCUCUCUCUCUUUGCUCUCUCUCUGUCUCUCCUCUCUCUCUCUCUUUCUCUCUGUCUCUCUGUCUCUCUCUCUCUCUCUCUCUCUCUCUCUCUCUCUCUCUCUCACACACACACACACACACACACACACACACACACACACUCAGUAAGAGUUCAGGCCAGUUACAAAGGUCAAGGACACAGUCCAUGCAAGGCCUCACCCUGGUACGAAUCACAAGUUCAGGUGCCCAAGGCCACCCUCAGUUUGAUGAUUCUAGAAGGACUCCCAGAACUCCUUGAAAGCUAUUACACUCACAGUUGUGGUUUCUGUAUUAGUCCAUUCUUGAAUUGCUGUGAAGAAAUACCUGAGACUGGGUAAUUUAUGAAGAAAAGAGGUGUAAUUGGCUCCUGGGUCCACAGGCUGUACAGGGGCAUGGUGGCACCUGCUCGGCUGCUGGGGAGGCCUCAGGAAGCCUCCAGUCCUGGCAGAAGCCAGAGGGGAGCCAGCCUGUCUGGGUGGGAACAACAUCUACAUAAAUCAGUUCCUUACCGGGAAAGGAUACAGAUUAAGAUUGGCCAAAGGAGGGGAGGCAGGGGGCCGAGUCCAGGAAAAGUGCCCCAAGCGGAGCUCUUGCUGUCCCUUUCCUGUGGGACUGGGACUUGUGACUCUCCUGCGUCAACGUGGUAGCACGAGCGAGGGCCAGCCUCAAGCCACAGUGUCCAGGUUCUCACUGGGGCUCCAUUCCAUGGGCAUGGCUGAUUGAGUGACCACCCAAAUGGUCAGUCCCCGUCCUGCGGCCGAUUGCCACCGUGUGGUCCCCAUCUCCCACCCUCCAUGACACCGUUGGUCUUUCUGGCAUGGCCAGCCCCACCCUGAGACCAUCAUGGUGGCUCUCCUCCACCCUAAGUCACAUCACUGGACUCUCCUGUGUAACCCAAGGCCCUGGGCAAACAGUGACUCCUAUCAGGCAGGACAUCGUGGAGGUCACCUCCCAGUGGCUGAGGACAAAGGUCAGGCCUCUUUGGGGCAGGAUUCAAUUCUUACCGCAGACCUUCCUCCUCCCACACACAAGUGAGCUACGGAGAAAAGGGAAUAGAAUAUCUCUCUGGUGGGUCUGGAAUGCCCGUUUUCGGAGGCUGGUUGGAACUUUCUUAUCUCCUUUUAUUUCUGAUUUCUGUUGAAAUUCCCCGGAACUAAUGCCUAUUGUAUGAACCUGAUUACAAAGAGAGAGAUUUUACAGAGCAUUUUUCCUCUCAGGAAAAAGGAGGCACCCUGCUUUUUUCUCAGUGAGAGAGAAAUGUUCUUUGAAUAAUUUUUUAAUUUACUAAAAAAUUUUUGAUCCUACUGCUAAGGGGAUGCAACCUUCCUGCAGAGAGGCGUGCAGAUAAAGUUGUCUUAAUAUUUGCAUUUCUGCAGAGCAUGGGCUGCUGCAGCCCGGGGGGUGUGUACCGUGGUGAUUUGUAAAGUGACUUCUACCCUGUCACAGGGGUGAGGAAAAUGGGUCCCCAGGCUGUGAAGGCCUCGUCCCUCCCCACGGCCAUGGGAACCGGACUGAGGUUCCUUACUUGGCUGGACACAGUUUGACCCAGACUCUUCUCCAAACCAGAGGCCAGCCUUCCCACUUAGUAAAAAAUUCGUUAUCCUUCCCCUAGAUGUUAUUAAUUUCUUCCUGGGGUUUUAAAGAAGUCAGUGCAUUUUAUGGCCAGUGGAGUGUUGAUGGUUCAGUGCACAUAGCACCUGCGUCUGUGAGUGGAGUGUUGAUGGUUCGGUGCACAUAGCACCUGCGUCUGCGGUGAUCAGCACCCUCGGGGCAGAGCGUUGCAUCCAAACGGGCAUUUUCGGCGUGAUGUUCCCAGUGGGGCUUUUCCUAGCAAUGGCUUUUUAAACUCUGCUGCGAGGACGCCCAGCAUCAGCGACAUCCAACUCCCUGGAACGGCAGGGCUGCCACUGAACUUGUGUGGUCCAGGCCUGGAGUGUCCAGUUCUCUCUCAAGCUGGGCACUGGGUCCCCGAGAGUCUCCCAAGGACAAUGGAGAAGCAGGAUGCGCGGGCUCAGAAGCAAUGCGGCCCCCCAGCACUGCAUGCCCAGCCACCCCAACUUCUAGGCAGCUGCAGGCUCCCACCUGCGCAGAGAAUAGGCUGUUCACCUGCAACGGCGGCUGGCGCCGGGGGAGGUGGGCGUUCUGGGAGAGGAGGAGCCCCUGGCUGCAUGGCUGUGCCGUGGGUGGUGCCGUGGACCUGCUGGUGGCCGAGUCCCUCUGAGGGCUGCAUGUUUUGAGGGGACCCUGGCUUUGGCCUGGCAUGGACCCUCUUGCGCAGAUCAUCUCGUGAUUCUCCUGGCAACCCUGUGAGACGGACGGGUUCUUUCAUUGCCCACUGUUGGCACCUGGGGAGAUGGAGGAGCACAGAGGGGACACACCUUGCUCAGGAUCACACAGCAAGGAGGUGCCAAGGUCGAGUUGGACCUGGACUCCCCACUUUCACGGCCAUGUGGGUCUCUGCAGGGCACCCUUCCUGGAGGAGGACCGGUGCAGACCCCUGUUGAGUAGGGGACAGCCGCCUGGAGAACCACCCUUGGCCGCCUUAGGUAGGUGCCAGCGCAGGUGUCUGCAGUCCUGACGCCAGGGGGCAGGAUGAGACAGGGGAACGAAGUCGGUGCGGCAGGCGUGGCGGCCUCGCCGGUCUUUUCCUGGGACGCUCUCAGGAUGGCUCUCGGAGGGUGCCCGGGCGGCAGGCAGGGCUCAGAAUGCGGCUCCGUUGCUCACUAACGGCCUUCAGAGUCUUCUGAGCAGUCCAGGAUGGGGGCAGCAGCUGCCUCUGUAGAGAAUGUGAAUCUUUGGCUUCUCAGGUAUCCAACACCUUGGCAAGCACCAGGGAGUGAAAUCACUGAAUUAAGAAUGUGUUUGUGAGAAGUGGCAGCUGCUUCCCGCUGGGGCUCAGGGAGGGAGUUGCGGGCUGGGCCGGGGGCUGCUGAGCUCCGUGUCCACUGCUGUCUGGUCUGGAAACAGCGUGAAUCCCGGUGACCGCCGCUCCCUCCCAGGCUGUCCCGGCAGGUUCUGAGCUGGUGAGAGGGAUUUCAGGGUGGUGGGUGCUGUGCUGAGGCUUUGCUCCCCUGCUGGGUUGAGUGUCUGCAGCCGCCCCCACAUCCCCCGCUUUGCUAGUCUUUUCCUUCACGCAGCCUUUGCUGCCCAGGGGGACCCACCCCAGCUGUUCUCGGGAGCCCAGCCCCUCUGCAGAGUUCUUUAGGCUGCUCCUACCCAGAGGGACCUUCCCAGCAGGUGGGCCUAGCUUCAGAUCUCCAAGUCUGUGGUGGCCCCCACCCACUGAGACCCAGGAGGCCCAGCGGGACUUGGGGUUCAGGCCAAGGUUUGUCUGGCUCCCUCCUUCCUCCUUCCAGGCACGUUGUCUAGAAAUCACCUCAUCUCUUACAGGUCACCAGUUAAUUGUGUUGGAGGAAGCUCUGGGAUGUACGGGUCUGAAUGGCCCACAGCAGUUCAGGCCCUGGACUGAGCCUGGAACCCGCCCCCAGGGCUGGGUCCUGGCCUCGCCCAUCUGUCUCCCUUGAGGGGAGGGCUGGGUUCUUCUCUUGGCCUCAGUUCCCUCCCGUUUGCCAUUCCAAAUACUUUUUAUUCCCUCCCCCUUCCCCCAGCAUCUCCUUUCUCUUCCUUUGUCUCCAGCCUUGUCUGUCGCUUUGCUUCUGGGCCUUGGCAUCUGGGCAUGAACCCACCGCCUCCAGCCAGUGCGAAGAGUGGGCGCCACUGGCCGGGUUCAUCUUGCUGUGGUGGCGUGUUUGGGGGACCUGGGGGGGGACUGAUGGGUCCCCAGGGUUUCUGAGGAUGUGGGCCUUGGAGCGCUCCCAAGAGGCCAGUCUUCGUUUAACGUGGGUGGUCCCCACAAAUGCUGGGGAUGGGGGGUUUCCGGCCGCCCUCUGGGCAUGAACUUUGGGCCUUUAUCCCAAGUCUUCGGGGCAAGGAAGGGGAGUGGGAAUUAAACUGGUGCCGGCCGUUAGGUCCACCCAGCAGAUCUACCCGGCAGGCACAGCACCGCGGUCCGGAGAGCGCCAGUGCCUGUCACCAGGAGCAGAGUGAACCCCUCGUGGGUGCCAGCUCCUCCUGCCCCUCCUGAGCCUGACGGGGCUACGGUUUUCAGUGGCUGCGACGCCACAGGACCUGUGAGGAGAGACUGCACCCUGAAGGUCUGGCGGCGAGCGGAUCCUAAACAAAGUGAGGCCUAGGAGCGCCGUCCUGAAGGCACUGCUCUCCCCAGGGCCAGCUCCUGGCUAUGGGGUCAGACAGGUCGCUGGGUCCUCACAGCCAGCGCAAACACAGAUCCAGGCGUGGUCGUCCCGUGUCCAGGGAGCUGCUACCUUGUGCUGCUGGGACCUGGCAUCGAGUAGGUACAGCCAAGCCCACAGGAACGGAGCCGUGGCUUCCAGGGUCGUGCAACCCUGGCCUGCCCUGGGCUGGCUGAGGGGCCCACCACCCUGGGCUGGCACUUGGGCUCCCCUCAAGCAGACUGCCUGUCUGCAGCCUCAUCUCCUGAGAGCGGAGCCUCAGCCAGCCUAGGUGCAGGUCACCCUCACACGUGGCCGCACCAAGGCCACCUCACAAUCACAGCCAUGCCACAUGCUGAGCCCCCGAGAUGUGCAGGCCACAUGCCAGCUGGCUGCUUCUGUUGUGUUUCUGCGGGAGCUGCAUGAGGCUGAAGGAGAGACCCGGGCAGAGAGAGGCUGAGCCUCUUGCUCUUGGAGGCAGACGCGGGUUUCGGUGCUGCCCCCCUCUGACACCCUGGUCGACAUUUCUGUUCCUGCCUCAGGCCUCCUCCUUGAACCUGCCUCUGACCUCACCAGGAGUGGGUUUGUCUGGCGACCAGACCCUGGUGGCCUUCUGCUGAAGCCUCUGCAAUCGUUCCGCACUGGGGGCUCGGUGACCGCAGGUGGACCCUGCUCUGUGGGAAGCAGCCUGGGGGCUACGGGAGGCAGUGAGAGGGUCACCCCAUCUCUCUGGAGUUUGACACAGUCUCCCAUCUGGCCUCAACUGUACUGACCCCUGACCUCUGACCUUCAAGCCCCCAGGCCCAGUCGAACUGGUACCUUAAAAGGACACGGCCUGUUGGUGUCUGGGUGAGGCCACUGGGUCGAUGUGGAUGGAGGGUGGCUGGAUGUGCUUUCUGGGGGUCCUCUGGACACAGGGGGUGCUGUAAUCCCCUCCCCUUCCUGGAGACCUGGCGGACACGCCUCCUCCCAGGGACGCCCAGGCAGGCCAAGCCCAGGUCCACAGGUCGCCCUCUGUCUUCCAAGCAUUUGAAAGACACUGACAGAUGAUAAUACCUUUUUUUUUUUUUUUUCCAUUUAGGGAAAGGCCUGAAAGUAAAAUUGUAUCAACAUUAGGUUUGGCUAAUGUUGCCAUUAGGCAAACCUAAUUUUAAUGAAGCCAGGAGGUUCUCGUUUUGGGCCUUGACUGGACAGGUUUGAGCUAGAAACCACUUGAAGUAUUGAUCAUCCAUCUGAUCAUCAAGUUUUUUUUUUUUUUUGAGUUGGAGUCUCACUCUGUUGCUCACGCUGGAGUGCAGUGGCACGAUCUCAGCUCCCUGCAACCUCCACCUCCCGGGUUCUCCUGCCUCAGCCUUCCAAGUAGCUGGGAUUAUAAGCGUGUGCCACCAUGCCUGGCUACUUUUUUAUAUUUUCGGUUGAGAUGGGGUUUCACCGCGUGGCCAGGCUGGUCUCAAACUCCUGACCUCAAGUGAUCCGCCUGCCUCGGCCUCCCAAAGUGCUGGGAUUACAGGCGUGAGCCGCCACUCCCAGCUUGUUCAUCCAGUUUUUAUUGAGCAUCUAUUAUGUGCCGAUAUUGAGGUAGACUCUGGGAGUCACAGCAGUGAAUGCAGCUGCCUGGAUGCCUCGUGAGGGCCGGAGCCUCACUGGGGAGAUGGACAUGAACAGCAAAUGCACAGCGAGGAAAGCCAGGGGUCUGUGCGGGGAUGCUGCAGGACACGAGAACCAGCCAAGACCUAUGGCCCCUGCAGCCACCGAGGGCUCGAGAGCGCCCCUGUGGACUUGGCUGGGCCCUUCAUGGUGACAUCCAGGAAUGCGGCUGAGCGCGGGUGUUGACCUCGCUGUUUGCUGGAAUGUUUGGGUUCUUGGACCAUGUCAGUGACGGCUGUGUCACCAUGGCCUUGCUAUCCCCAGGAAAACCUAACAUGCACCCCGCGCCUGUCCUCUGGGACUCCCAUCCUCCUCCUUUGUCUGACCCCUGAGAGGCUUACCGUUUCCCCAGGGCAGCCCCGGCUGUGGCCCUCGGCCCUGCUCCAGGCGGCCAUGUCAGUGUCCUCCCUCGGCGCUCCCAACACCCUACCUGGCUCUGCGAUGGCCACCCUGGACUCCUAAACACCCCAGAAAGGGAAGAGAUUUAAGAGGAACCUUGAUUCCUGCCAUUCUGCGCAGUCGUGGGUCCCUCCUCCACCUGGGGCCCUCAAGGGGAUUUCUGUCCGCACUCCCAGCCAGCGACCCCUCCCAGUUCCUGCAGCUGGAGCGGCCCUCUCUCCUGAACAUUCGGGCACCUGCGUCUGUCACUGCAGCCAGAGGGCUGGAGUGUCUUCGGUCAACUCGCCAUCCCUGCCACGGCUGGAGGCCACAUGUCCCAGAACCUACCUUGCUGGGAUGGGGGUUGGGGUGGCAGAGGCUGAACGCGUGUGAGGUUUGGGGGAGGACAAGCGGAGCGGGGAUGUGUGGGAGGUCCUGGUGUCCACCGUGAGGAUGGUCACACCCCAUAGCUUUGUUGAUGCUGUGGCUGUAGCAGGCCCAGUGGCUCCGCUGAGCCUCCCUAGCACCAGUGCCCAGUGAAGUGUGGGGGGCUGGACAUAGGUGGCCUCAGUUCCUGGGACUCCCCCAAAGCUCUGGUUUCCCCCCUGCUCCCAGGCUUCAGGUGGACGAGUUAGUGACCACCCCCACUCCAGACCUCCCUCCCCUAGCCACCCCCACAGUUAUAAAAACCUUCAUUCUCAUAUGGAACCCCCUUUCCUGAAAUCCGUAGAGUGACUGACUGCUUUCUUGAGUGAAUCUGGACUGGGCCACAUGAUGAUCGCUGUACAGAGCAGCUGAGCUCCUCUGUCUCAGCCUCCCUGAGUUCACAGCAGGCUCUGGGCAUCAUCUCCGUGUCAUCCUAAGGCCACGGGCGGGGUUCCCACCAAACAGGAGAGCAGCUCUCCCGAGAUGAAGCCUUCUGAUAGCCCUAGAACCAAGAGGAACCGUGUGGGGUUGGGUGGGGUGUUUACUGUGCACUCCUGAUGUUCCCUCCCAGUGAAGGACACCCACCUGGGACACUGUGGCCCCUGGCCCUCCCUCCCUCCCCUCGGUGGCAGAGAGAACUUCCUGGUGGGUGACAGCCCAUGGUCCACCCUUGCCAGGUGGAUUCAGGCAAAAUACGCCAGGCUGUGUGCUGAAGGCAUCCCAUCUCUUCCUCGUCCCCUCUCGGCUGGAUCGGGGUGGGGCAGCGGGUGGUGAGUGUGUCUGUCCUGCCAGUUCAGCCUCCAACUGGUCUGCUGUGGGGCAGGAGCCCACCUGGCUCUCCUGCAGAGCUGCAUGGCCUGCCUUGCCUCACCCGUGACAACAGAGACUUUGGUUCUCCAUCUGCAGACGCAUUUGUCUUGUUUCUUAUUCGGUCCAGAACUCGGGUGGGAAGAAGGGUGAUGUUAUUUGGGUCCCCUCAAGACCUUGACAACAGAUAGUUUUUAAUAUCACAUUUUAAAGCCGCCAACUUUCUCUCCUCCACUUUGGUAUUUCCCUGAUUUUUAAACAGAAUGUCGGCUCUGGAGGCAGAAAGCUUGGGCUUGGAUCUGGGCCCUGCCACGCAGUAGCUAUGUGGCCAGGGAAUACAUAGCUUCCGGAUCUCCGAUCCCUACAGUAAAGUACAGAUAAAAAUACUUUUCAUUGAUGUGUUUGAAAUCGAAUGAGAUAGUUAAUGAAUGAGUAAGUGCUCUGCAAACUCCAGAGCGGGGUGCGCGUUCUGAUCUGUUUCAUAGAAUCUGACACGUACCCUUUCCCACCCCAGCGUCUCUGAAUUGGGAUGCAUCUGACAGCAAGUGUGGCAUCCGGGCUGCAGUUGCCGUUGUCUGCUCACAUGUGAAUUAAAAAAACAAUCUCAGCAUAUGAAAUCUCUAAUCGCGUAUGAACUUGGUGGUUAUUCCUGGUGCCGUGUGGAUAACUGCAGCCUCAACACCCCAGUCCACAAACCACGUACGGACCAACUGAGGAAGGAGUAGGGGUUCUUGUUGUUGCAGAAAACCCUCCCUCAACUUGCUCUAGAAGAUACCAGCAUUCAUACUUGGAGUGGGCAUCAGCAGCUUGGAAGACACAGCAGUGGGCCCCUCUUAGCAGGAGUGCCCCAUCUCAUGGCUCCCGACGACGACCCAGAGGGUGAUGCUGCGUAGGGGCUCACGGACAUUGGCACUCUAAGUCAGAGAUGCUCAGGUGAAGGGGGCUCUGAUGGUGAGGACAUUCAGAAAUAACAGAGAUUGGCUGGGUACGGUGGCUCACACCUGUAAUCCCAGCACUUUGGGAGGGAAGCCGAGGCAGGUGGAUCACUGGAGGUCAGCCUGGCCAACAUGGUGAAACCCCGUCUCUACUAAAAAUACAAAAAUUAGCUGGGCGUGGCGGCAUGUGUCUGUAAUCCCAGUUACUCGGGAGGCUGAGGCAGGAGAAUUGCUUGAACCUGGGAGGCAGAGGUUGCAGUGAGCCAAGAGUGCGCCACUGCACUCCAGCCUGGGCAACAGAGCGAGACUCUUUGUCUCAAAAAAGAAAAAAAAAAGAAACAACAGAGACUUAUUUUACUUAUGUUUUCCUCUUUUCUGUGUGUAUAAUGAGAGAAAUUAGGAUGCCAAAAAAAAAAGAAAAGAAAAGAAAAGAAAAACCAAGGCCUUCUAAGUCUAUAAAAAUUUUUUAAGUAAUUUUUUUUUUUUUUAAGAGACAGGGUCUUGCUCUGUAGCCCAGGCUGGGGUGCAGCAGUGCAAUCCCAGCUCACUGCAGCCUUGAGCUCCUGGGCUCAAAUGAUCCUCCCACGUUGGCCUCCCAAAGCAUAACACAUUUUAAAAUAAAAUUAUAGAUAAUAAGAAAGCAUUGUGUUAAAGUUUAAUUGGCAGCAUUUUAAAUUCUUUCUUACUGAGUUCCAGUUUUAAGCUCAGCUCUGCAGGUAAACAGCGGCACAAACCUGAUUGCAUUGCCUGGUCCCUCUGAGCCUCGGUUCCCUUAUCUGACAGCAGGGCUGUAUCUAUUCUAGCUCUCUGGGUUGCAGGUGAUGAGGAGAAGCAACCCUAAUCGGCUGAAGCCAAAGAAAGGACUUCAGAUCUCGUAACUGCAAAUCCUGGGGUCUAGCCUCAUAACUGCAAAUCCUGGGGUCUAGCCUCCCUCUCUGGUUCUUGUCACCUCCUCGUGGGCUUCAGUCCCAAGUUCCAGAUCGGGGCAAGACAUGGCCGAAGCCCAGGGCCCGCAUCCUCCCAGAUUCCAGCCACCUGGGAGUGUGUCUGUGGUCCCUGGUCUCUGACGAGGUCCUGUGCCCUGCCAUUGGUUCCAGGGGACUGCCGGAGCUGAUGGGUCAGGCCUGCACUGGAGCUGGGUGGAGUUGGCUCCAUCCUGAGGUUACCCCUAUGCCAGAGGGGCAUGGGUGGUUCCCAGGGUAGGGAAAGUGUGUGCUGGGUACCCAGACAUCGAAGCCUACUGUGCCUCCUUCUGUGACAAGGCAUGUGUCAUGUGUUGCUCCAGGAUGGGCAUGUACUCAUAGAUGGGGCUCAACAGGUUGAAUUCUCCUUUCCCUCCUUUCCUCUGGCUUAUGGUCAUCCACUCUUUGGAGCUAGCCAGGCCAAGUUGGAGGAUGCAAAGGUGAAUGGGGACACUGGCAUUCCAAAGGGGACCCGAUAUAGUUUGGCUGUGUCCCCACCCGAAUCUUACCUUGAAUUCCCAUGUGUUGUGGGAGGGACCUGGUGGGAGGUGAUUGAAUCAUGGGGGCAGGUCUUUCCCAUGCUGUUCUCAUGAUAGUGAAUAAGUCUCAUGAGAUCUGAUGGUUUUAUAAGGGGGAGUUUCCCCACAUAAGCUCU
rnacentral:lncRNA from 1 species